rnacentral:tRNA from 1 species
AUUUAAGUAGCUUAAAAAGAGUUUAAUAUUGAAGAUAUUAAGGUAAUAAUUUUUAUUCUUAAAUA